rnacentral:rRNA from 1 species
UUGAUAGGUUGGGUGUGUAAGCGCUGUGAGGCGUUGAGCUAACCAAUACUAAUUGCCCGUGAGGCUUGACCAUAUAACACCCAAACAAUU